rnacentral:rRNA from 1 species
UGGGGAGUUGCUUUGGCUAGGAGACUAGCCAACUAACUACUUUAUAAUAUUGUGGGUUUUUUGUUAUAAAUUUAAAAAUUUAAAACUUUCAACAACGGAUCUCUUGGUUCUCGCAUCGAUGAAGAACGCAGCGAAACGCGAUAUGUAAUGUGAAUUGCAGAAUGUGAAUCAUCGAAUCUUUGAACGCACAUUGCACCCUCUGGUAUUCCGGAGGGUAUACCUGUUUGAGCGUCAGUUCAUUCUCAAAGGAAACUUUGGUAUUGGCUGAAUAAGGGUAUCGGCUGAAAGAAAUUGGUUAGAACGAUGUAAUAAGUAUUUCAUCUAGCUAACUAGAAUCUCUUUUUUUGUUGACCUCAAAUCAGGUAAGACU